ensembl:snRNA RNU4ATAC2P RNA, U4atac small nuclear 2, pseudogene
ACCAUCCUUUUCUUGGGGUUGGGCUACUGUCCAAUGAGCACAUAGUGAGGGCAGUGCUGCUAACACCUACACAAAAUUCCUGCAUCAGCUACAGCUUUGCUUUACCUUGCCACAGUUUCUGGACAA